rnacentral:lncRNA from 1 species
GCUAGAAAGCUAGCUUCUAGCUUCUCCUAAAGGUAGUUUUAGACAUUUAGUUCUUGUAUAAGCACCUUUCAAAUGAGAGUGGCAAACACCUGGGGUAGCAACAAUUGACCUGACCUAGAACCCUGACCUUACCUGAAUCUAUUUGGGCCGGAUAUUGUUCAGGGUCGUUUCAAUUCGGGUUGGGUAUGGGUCAUUUUUUUUUUUUAACUAGAACUUUAAAGGGUUGGGUCAGAGCUCUGACCUACCUAGAGUCAUGAUGGGGACAUCAGCUAGGUCCCCAUUUUAUUUGCAUAUUUGCUUAUUGUUAUUUCUGGGUUUAUUCGUGUUUUAGGAUUUAUUUGGGGUUUAUUUUAUUCUGAGCUUAUUUGCAUUUUAGGGCUUAUUUGUGGGGAAUUAUUUUAUGUAAGGGGUUUAUUUUAAUUGUUCUUAUGGGGCCCUAUUUAAAGGGAACUUUAUGCUGAUUAGGGUUUUAAUGAAGAAUUAAAGAUUUCUUUCCCCCACGUUUCCUCUUCUUCUCUUCUCCUCCCUUCUCCUUCUUCUCUUCUUCUUCCUCCUUCUCUUCCCCUCUUCUCCUUCUUCCAUUUAAAAUUUGGUCCGGCAUCAACUU